rnacentral:rRNA from 1 species
GACGAACGCUGGCGGCGUGCUUAACACAUGCAAGUCGAACGGAAAGGCCCUGCUUUUGUGGGGUGCUCGAGUGGCGAACGGGUGCGUAACACGUGAGUAACCUGCCCUUGACUUUGGGAUAACUUCAGGAAACUGGGGCUAAUACCGGAUAGGAGCUCCUGCUGCAUGGUGGGGGUUGGAAAGUUUCGGCGGGUGGGGAUGGACUCGCGGCUUAUCAGCUUGUUGGUGGGGUAGUGGCUUACCAAGGCUUUGACGGGUAGCCGGCCUGAGAGGGUGACCGGCCACAUUGGGACUGAGAUACGGCCCAGACUCCUACGGGAGGCAGCAGUGGGGAAUAUUGCACAAUGGGCGGAAGCCUGAUGCAGCAACGCCGCGUGCGGGAUGACGGCCUUCGGGUUGUAAACCGCUUUCGCCUGUGACGAAGCGUGAGUGACGGUAAUGGGUAAAGAAGCACCGGCUAACUACGUG